UCCACCUCUGACACAAAAACUUAGAUAUCGUCUAUAAUUUAAAUUUCAGGAGAUUUAUAUGUCUUAGUUCUCUAACCAUUUAGAAGACGCUUUUAUAAUGCAAAAUCCUGAAAAAUCUUUUUAUCACUUCAGGAAAACAUGAAUCAGCUCUUACAGCAUUUACCUACAAAUCUGUUUAUGACUUCAUGUGUUGCGGUUACCCAGACAUCAAUGGGCCAGCUAGGAGGCUUAACAUGUCAUCACAUUAACUUCCCUCCACUAGUGGACACAUUAUAAAUACAUAUUAGACUAAGGUUUCAUGAGGCUAAUGGUGACUGUAGUUGAUGCCUUUUACAGGCUGCCCUCUCUGUCAUGUUAGUCUCUGUACUCAUUCACAAACAGUGAAUGUAUUAAAAAAAUUACACCAGAAAUUGUCUGAAAUAUUCUUAAACAAAAAACGUAUGCACAUAGUUUGAGGUGAAAGGAAAAUAAGGCCAUUAUUUGUUUUAAAUGUCGUAUCACAUAUGGCAGAGAGCUGCUGCUACAAUACCCUGUAAUUCAUAAAACAUGUUUCACUUAAGACUACAGCCACCACUAUGGAGUAAACUCUGGUUACAAUUUGUGAAUAGUAGUUUGUGGACGGUGGUGAUCAGUUUGUUGUCCUCCAUCAGGUGUCACCAAACUUGGGGUGAAAAAGUUCCAAGUGAAAAUUGGGUUGGACAACCAGGUCAGCAUCUCCAUGUUCAAGAAACUGCAUUUCCAAGAGGUGUCGGUGUGUAAGGUGUUCAAAGAGGUGACCCUCGAGAUGACUGUGGACGAGGCUGUUCGGACAAGGCUGCUGGACGAGACGGCGGACAUGAAGGAGAGAGACUACAGACUGACCUGCAGCAAAAGACAGGAACUGGUUUAACAGUGAACUGCCGUGCUGAGCUGUACUCACACGUAGUUAAAGACUUCCAGCUGUGAAGGAGACCAUUCUGCACACAAAUGAGGGAAAUCUGAGACGCCAAGCUGAAAACUAAUGUGUGGUUUCACUUUCACACCUUCACAGCAUCGGACUGCUAUCUGUAAUACCAGAGUAAUUGUGCAUUUUAUACCUACAGAGGUGCAGUUUUGAUGAUCUGGUUCUGUGCAUAAAUAUUUUAAUCUUAAAAUAUACAGUAUUCUACUUCAACAGCUACAUUUCAGAGGCAAAUGUUGUACCUUUAAUGUUAAUAUAUGCAUCUGACAGGUGGAGUUACUAGUUACACUGCAUGCGUAUGCGUAUACCUGAUCAUCACAACUCCAAGUCACUCCGAAACCAUGGGCAUUACUCUGCUACUAUAACAGUCUUCUCUCUUCUUUGAAGGCUUUCUGCAAGAUGUUGUAACCUGGCUGCAGGAACCUGUUCCCAUUCAGCCACAAGAGUAUUAAUGUGGUUGGUCACUGAUGUUUGGUGAUAUUGCCCGGCUCACAGUCAGCACUCAGGUGCAUCCGGAAGGUGUUGGAUGGGGUCAGGGCUCUGUGCAAGCCAGUUACUGUUGAAACAGGAUCUUUCCCAAACUGUUGCCACGAAAGUGGAAGCGCACUGAUGUCUAAAAUAUAAUUUUAUGCCGUACCAUUGAGACUUGCCUUAAUUGAAAGGGACCCAACUAAACUAUAAAAACAACCAUCCAUAUAUUUCUGGCCAUAUAGUGUAUUUUUAUUGGACAGUAACACACGCAUAAAAAAUACCAUCACCAUGACAAUAUACAUUUAUCAGAACUGUAACAUGAUAACAUGAGAAAGUUACAAACUUAUUUCUAUUGUGGUCCUUGUUGUAGUCUGACAAAGAUGGCAAGGUAAGCUACGGAUGACUAAAGGUAUCCUGUACACUCAACCCUUACAAAAUACAACCAAAAGACCGAACACAUCCUAAUACAAAUAAUAAUUAAUACAUGUACAUACAAUUAAAAUACUCUGUAAUACUUCAUAAAAUCUUAGUCUAAUUAGUAAUAGUAUAUCUGUAUAUUGCAGAUCCACAUUUUAAACUUGCAUAACAACUGUGUGUUUCCUUCUUUCUUUCUGGUACUUUCUGGUGCCUCUUCUACUUCCUCCUUAAAAGUUCACAAGGUCCCAUUAAAUUGGCCUUUUCACCUCAGACAGUAUUAAUAGGGAAAAUAUUAAAUGUAUCCUUGUAUACAUCUAAGAGGCCAAGUGCCUGCACUAUGUCCAGACAACUGCUUUUCUCUGAAGUAUUUAUAGUGGUCUUUCGUGCUGACAGACAUGAGAAGACGGUGCGUUAAAGGCAAGACGAUGAACAGUGGAAACAAUCUGUGGUUUUUAUAUCUGGUAUUUUCUGGAAAUGGUUCAUUCUUUUUUGGUUUGGCGAAAGGCAAGUUUGUGUCUCUUUAAAUUUGAUUAAAUAAACUAAUUCUGACUUUU